rnacentral:rRNA from 1 species
GAUGAGCGCUAGCGGCAGGCCUAAUACAUGCAAGUCGAACGGUGUCUUCGGACAUAGUGGCGCACGGGUGCGUAACACGUAUGCAACCUACCUUACAUUGGGGGAUAGCCUUUCGAAAGGGAGAUUAAUACCGCAUAAGACAGUAACUAGGCAUCUAGUAGCUGUUAAAGAUUUAUCGAUGUAAGCUGGGCGUGCGUCCAAUUAGCUAGUUGGUGAGGUAACGGCUCACCAAGGCAAUGAUUGGUAGGGGAACUGAGAGGUCAAUCCCCCACACUGGCACUGAGAUACGGGCCAGACUCCUACGGGAGGCAGCAGUAGGGAAUAUUGGGCAAUGGACGCAAGUCUGACCCAGCCAUGCCGCGUGCAGGAUGAAGGCGUUAUGCGUUGUAAACUGCUUUUAUACAGGAAGAAACGACUCUUGCGAGAGGCAUUGACGGUACUGUAUGAAUAAGCACCGGCUAACUCCGUGCCAGCCGCCGCCGUAAGAC